rnacentral:rRNA from 1 species
CCUACGGGAGGCAGCAGUGAGGAAUAUUGGUCAAUGGACGGAAGUCUGAACCAGCCAUGCCGCGUGCAGGAAGACGGCUCUAUGAGUUGUAAACUGCUUUUGUACAAGGGUAAACCUGAAUACGUGUAUUCAGCUGAAAGUACUGUACGACUAAGGAUCGGCUAACUCCGUGCCAGCAGCCGCGGUAAUACGGAGGAUCCAGGCGUUAUCCGGAUUUAUUGGGUUUAAAGGGUGCGUAGGCGGAGUGAUAAGUUAGAGGGGAAAUGUCCGAGCUUAACUCGGGAACUGCCUCUAAUACUGUUGAUCUAGAGAGUAGAUGCGGUAGGCGGAAUGUAUGGUGUAGCGGUGAAAUGCUUAGAGAUCAUACAGAACACCGAUUGCGAAGGCAGCUUACCAAUCUAUAUCUGACGUUGAGGCACGAAAGCGUGGGGAGCAAACAGGAUUAGAUACCCCUGUAGUC